rnacentral:rRNA from 1 species
AGUGAACGCUGGCGGUAGGCCUAACACAUGCAAGUCGAACGGCAGCACAAGAGAGCUUGCUCUCUGGGUGGCGAGUGGCGGACAGGUGAGGAAUACAUCGGAAUCUACUCUGUCGUGGGGGAUAACGUAGGGAAACUUACGCUAAUACCGCAUACGACCUACGGGUGAAAGCAGGGGACCUUCGGGCCUUGCGCGAUUGAAUGAGCCGAUGUCGGAUUAGCUAGUUGGCGGGGUAAAGGCCCACCAAGGCGACGAUCCGUAGCUGGUCUGAGAGGAUGAUCAGCCACACUGGAACUGAGACACGGUCCAGACUCCUACGGGAGGCAGCAGUGGGGAAUAUUGGACAAUGGGCGCAAGCCUGAUCCAGCCAUACCGCGUGGGUGAAGAAGGCCAUCGGGUUGUAAGGCCCUUUUGUUGGGAAAGAAAUCCAGCUGGCUAAUACCCGGUUGGGAUGACGGUACCCAAAGAAUAAGCACCGGCUAACUUCGUGCCAGCCGCCGCGGUAAGAC